UGGCAGCUGCCUGACCCCUGGACUGGAAUUAAAGCCCCUGCGGAAUUGGACCAGGAAGAUCCAGCCCCUUUCACUGAGCUGGGCAGAGGCAGUGGCCCAGCCUGCUCCCCGCGCAGCAGGUGCUGGGCCACAGCUUCCCUUUCCCCUCCUAAGCCCCCCGUGCUCACCAUCCGACCGCUGGUGACCUACAGCAGCAGAAACCACACCCAAGCCCAGAGGAAGAGCUCUGCAGCAGUCAAGGUGAGAUGAGGGGCACGGCCGCCUUCUCCUUUGUUGCUCCCCUUAGGCACAGCGCCCAUUGCUGCAGCUGGCCCAGCCAGAGGUGGCUGGGGCCUGGCCUGGGACAGUCAGAGGCUUUACUGGGUGAGACUGAACCCCCUGUUGCUCCCUGGGGUUUCAGAGGCUUAGCUGCUGCCAGUUUAGCUUGAAGCAAAAUACAUGCUCUGAUCUCCCCUCGUGAGCUGAGCAGGGGACCCCUUCUUUCUAUUCGGGGGCCCAGAAUAUAGCUGCCUCCCCACAGGGUGCUUUUCUGAAAUCUUGGGCUCAGUCAAGGUCUCAGGCCUGUGAUGCUCCAUGAGGAGGGCAUGGGGUGAAGACCACACAGGCACUGCUCCUGACGGGAUGCUUGGGUCCAGAAUGUACACCCAGGAGAGGAAGGCUCAGGUAGACGGAGCAGAGAGGGUGCUGGGGGGAACAGAGGGGCAUUUCUGGGGGCUCUGGGGAGGUGGCACAGGAGGCAGAAGCCCAGAAUUGCCGAUCAAGAUGCGCUUCAAUGCCCUGGAGCCCAGAGCAGCCAUGUGAAUGGAAAGUUCACCUGGCAGUGGCCAUAGUGUGAGGGAAUUCGCUGGAAAGGCAUGGACCAGAGGCUCGAGUGAGUCAGAAGGCUGAACAAAGGCACAUGUUCAGCCCACAAGAACCAGAGACCCACAGUCCCGGCCCUCGGUGCCUCACAGCCCUGGCCAGUCUGCCUGGCCACCUCUCGGCAUUCUGGGGGGGCCACUCCUGAGACAGGAGCCCCACUCCCGGAGGACCUACAUCUUCCCUUCUCUGAGCAGGAGCAGCCGAUGUGUGGCGACAGCUCAGGGUUGUAACCCAAUCCCUGGGGACCUUAGUUUCGCCUUGUGUAAAUGAGGCAGUUUGACCGGAUUCCGCUCUAAAAUCCUAUGAGCUCGGCAGCUCUAGAGGAAGUGAGGAGUCGGCUCCAGAAAAGGGGAUACUUGACAGGAAUAACUGCAGAGACUUUGCCCUGAGGCCGAGGGCCCCAAGCUGACGGCCACUGCCAGGCAACAGCCUCUGUGCCCAAGAGGGACUGGGUGACAGCCACAGCCACCCCCUACCCGAGGAAUGCAUUCUGGGGCCAGGUUAACCAGUUAACUGCCACGAUAUUUUGAAUUUAAUUAAGAAAGGUCCGCCGCUUGCAUCUAUAGACGCUAUGGCGUACAAAUGGUUAAGACAAGCAAGCGGUCUAGACAAAAAAGAGCCCAUCCCCCUCUAUGUACAGUCCACACUCGCAGACAUGGACCAAUUGGGAGAGGACGGUGAAGGGUUCUGGAUCAAAGCAACUGAUGCGCAGGGGAACAAGCAGGAGGUUUCACCUGGAAAUGGACAGACAGGGAGAGGGCGCUGGGGGCACAGCAGGGUCACUGUCAGAGGCUUAGCUUAACCUGAAGAGCUUUCUCAGGGAGCUUAUCCGACAAGGAAGGGCCUGCUCUAGAACGUGUAGCCCCUUGUCACUGGCGCUGUGUCCUCCGGGCUGGGCUCUCACUGCUCAGAUGGCUGUGUUCAACCAGAUGACCUUACAGUCCCUCUCACCCCAGUGAAGUGAUGAACUGUGUGAACUCGGAACAAAAAGGUCUGCUCUGGGUUCUCACAGCUAUUCAUGAUGGAAGCGGAGAAACUGCUCCUAGGCCCAGCAACCAACGUGAGUUUAUAUGAUGGACUACCAUGUGCUGUCACACAUGAACUGCGGUGAUGUGUAAAUGAAGCAAGAAGCAGUGCGCGGGACCCAGGGCCUCACUAGUCAGGACUCCGGGAAAUUGUGUACAUUAAGGAGGAGAGUUGGUGCCUGUAAAAAGAAUAUUUAUCUAAAAACAUGGACCUACUUAGUACUAUGGAAUUAGACCAUAAGAAGAAAAGAGCAUCUCCCCACCCCAGCACUGCUCCCCUGCUAGUCACUUGCAGUUAUCUUAGCUAUUUAUUUUUGUAACAUGCUUACACUGGUCUUGUUCGAUUUGUCAAUCUCAGACACUAUCUGUUGGCUCCCUUUCCUAACAGAUGAGGGACACCAUCCCUUCCUUGUCUUUCCAGUUUGUAGGUGAAUCAAUAUUCAGUUUGGAUUACAAUUUAUAUUAUGUGAAAAUUAUUCACUGUGAACCAAGAAUUGGGCUAUAAUUAAAUUACCUUUUGAGUACCGGUA